rnacentral:rRNA from 1 species
UACGGGAGGCAGCAGUAGGGAAUCUUCCGCAAUGGACGAAAGUCUGACGGAGCAACGCCGCGUGAGUGAUGAAGGUUUUCGGAUCGUAAAACUCUGUUGUUAGGGAAGAACAAGUACCGUUCGAAUAGGGCGGUACCUUGACGGUACCUAACCAGAAAGCCACGGCUAACUACGUGCCAGCAGCCGCGGUAAUACGUAGGUGGCAAGCGUUGUCCGGAAUUAUUGGGCGUAAAGCGCGCGCAGGCGGUUUCUUAAGUCUGAUGUGAAAGCCCACGGCUCAACCGUGGAGGGUCAUUGGAAACUGGGAGACUUGAGUGCAGAAGAGGAGAGUGGAAUUCCACGUGUAGCGGUGAAAUGCGUAGAGAUGUGGAGGAACACCAGUGGCGAAGGCGACUCUCUGGUCUGUAACUGACGCUGAGGCGCGAAAGCGUGGGGAGCGAACAGGAUUAGAUACCCUGGUAGUCCACGCCGUAAACGAUGAGUGCUAAGUGUUAGAGGGUUUCCGCCCUUUAGUGCUGCAGCUAACGCAUUAAGCACUCCGCCUGGGGAGUACGGCCGCAAGGCUGAAACUCAAAGGAAUUGACGGGGGCCCGCACAAGCGGUGGAGCAUGUGGUUUAAUUCGAAGCAACGCGAAGAACCUUACCAGGUCUUGACAUCCUCUGACAACCCUAGAGAUAGGGCUUUCCCCUUCGGGGGACAGAGUGACAGGUGGUGCAUGGUUGUCGUCAGCUCGUGUCGUGAGAUGUUGGGUUAAGUCCCGCAACGAGCGCAACCCUUGACCUUAGUUGCCAGCAUUCAGUUGGGCACUCUAGGGUGACUGCCGGUGACAAACCGGAGGAAGGUGGGGAUGACGUCAAAUCAUCAUGCCCCUUAUGACCUGGGCUACACACGUGCUACAAUGGAUGGUACAAAGGGCUGCAAGACCGCGAGGUUUAGCCAAUCCCAUAAAACCAUUCUCAGUUCGGAUUGUAGGCUGCAACUCGCCUACAUGAAGCCGGAUAGGGUAGUAAUCGCGGAUCAGCAUGCCGCGGUGAAUACGUUCCCGGGCCUUGUACACACCGCCCGUCACACCACGAGAGUUUGUAACACCCGAAGUCGGUGAGGUAACCUUUUGGAGCCAGCCGCCGAAGGUGGGACAGAU